GACGUAGGGCGCGAGCGUUGUCCGGAUUUAUUGGGCGUAAAGAGCUCGUAGGCGGUUUGUCGCGUCGUCUGUGAAAACCCACGGCUCAACUGUGGGCUUGCAGUCGAUACGGGCAGGCUAGAGUUCGGUAGGGGAGACUGGAAUUCCUGGUGUAGCGGUGAAAUGCGCAGAUAUCGGGAAGAACACCCGUGGCGAAAGCGGCUCUCUGGAACGGUACUGACGCUGAGACGCGAAAGCGUGGGGAGCGAACAGG
rnacentral:rRNA from 1 species